GGUUAAGUGUUUUCCCCCUUCAAAUGUACGUGUAUAUAUUAUAAUCAUUGUGUUUGUAUUCAUGUCAUAGUUUAGCUUUUUCUUAUUGCUAUGAGAGAGCAUAAUUAAAUAUGUUAUUUGCUUUUUUCUCUUAGUUUUGCGGCAUUGAUGCCGCUCGUGGACGGGACCCUCGGCCGGCUGGUGAAUGAUAACCAUCUGCACCCAAACUGCACUGUCAAUAAGAUUGUUGUUCAGAGAAUACCUCAUUUGUGCCUUUUUGCAAUCAGGGACAUUUCCCUGGAGAGGAAAUAACUUUUGACUAUGGCGCAUGUGAUUGGCCUUGGAGAAAGCUUUCAUUGAAGGAUAACCAUAUGACUGCAGAAGAGAACUGCUCCCACAACUCUCUGAUGAGCUGUUAUUGAAGAAUGACCAAAUGACAGAACUGCUCUGCUCCAGUAGGAGGCCCACAACUCUCUGAUGAGCUUUUAUUGAAGAAUGACC